AUUCUUUAAUUAUUUUUUAUUUUAAAUAUUAUGAAAAAGCUAAUUAUAGCUAUGGCGAUAAAUGUUUGAUUUAUGAACCGAAGCGGACCCGGGGGCGGUACCCGGCGCCU
rnacentral:tmRNA from 1 species